rnacentral:rRNA from 1 species
UGGGGAAUAUUGCACAAUGGGCGCAAGCCUGAUGCAGCCAUGCCGCGUGUAUGAAGAAGGCCUCCGGGUUGUAAAGUACUUUCAGCGGGGAGGAAGGUGUUGUGGUUAAUAACCUCAGCAAUUGACGUUACCCGCAGAAGAAGCACCGGCUAACUCCGUGCCAGCAGCCGCGGUAAUACGGAGGGUGCAAGCGUUAAUCGGAAUUACUGGGCGUAAAGCGCACGCAGGCGGUCUGUCAAGUCGGAUGUGAAAUCCCCGGGCUCAACCUGGGAACUGCAUCCGAAACUGGCAGGCUUGAGUCUUGUAGAGGGGGGUAGAAUUCCAGGUGUAGCGGUGAAAUGCGUAGAGAUCUGGAGGAAUACCGGUGGCGAAGGCGGCCCCCUGGACAAAGACUGACGCUCAGGUGCGAAAGCGUGGGGAGCAAACA